UUACUAUUCUUAGGUGCUCAGCUUUUGCUCAUGUUCCAAGUGUUGAUCAUGGAGGGAGUACCUUGAAUGAAAAUCACUGUGAGAAACACAUAAUUAUGCCACUGCCCAAAGAAAAGGUGAAUAUGGUUUCAGAUCUACUGUCUUCAGAUCUGCAACCUUAAAAUGGAAAGAAAGCCUAAUGAGCCGGAAAAGGCCAUUUGUCGGAAGAUGUUGUUAUUCCUGUACGCCCCAGAGCUGGGUAAGAAUGUUAUUGCUUGUUGACCUUUAAUAAACUCUUGAAAUAUCUGGCA